UNACAGAGCCAUGCANGUCUAGUACAUGCCGUAUUAAGGCGAAACCGCGAAUGGCUCAUUAAAUCAGUUAUGGUUCCUUGGAUCGUACAUAAUUACUUGGAUAACUGUGGUAAUUCUAGAGCUAAUACAUGCAGCAGAGCUCCGACCUUCGGGGACGAGCGCUUUUAUUAGACCAAAACCAAUCUGGCUCUGCCAGUCUCUCGUGGUGACUCUGAAUAACUUUGGGCUGAUCGCACGGGCCCGUCCCGGCGACGUAUCUUUCAAGUGUCUGCCUUAUCAACUUUCGAUGGUAGGUUACGCGCCUACCAUGGUCGUAACGGGUAACGGGGAAUCAGGGUUCGAUUCCGGAGAGGGAGCCUGAGAAACGGCUACCACAUCCAAGGAAGGCAGCAGGCGCGCAAAUUACCCACUCCCAGAACGGGGAGGUAGUGACGAAAAAUAACAAUACGGGACUCUUUUGAGACCCCGUAAUUGGAAUGAGUACACUCUAAACCCUUUAACGAGGAUCCAUUGGAGGGCAAGUCUGGUGCCAGCCGCCGCGGUAACUCCAGCUCCAAUAGCGUAUAUUAAAGUUGUUGCGGUUAAAAAGCUCGUAGUUGGAUCUCAGUUCCAGACGGGUGGUCCGCCUACCGGCGGUCACUGCCUGUUCUGAACAGCCAGCCGGUUUCUCUCGAUGAUCUUCACCGGUUGUCUUGGGUGACCGGCAAGUUUACUUUGAAAAAAUUAGAGUGCUCAAAGCAGGCGCGACGCCUGAAUAAUGGUGCAUGGAAUAAUGGAAUAGGACCUCGGUUCUAUUUUGUUGGUUUUCGGAACGCGAGGUAAUGAUUAAGAGGGACAGACGGGGGCAUUCGUAUUGCGACGCUAGAGGUGAAAUUCUUGGACCGUCGCAGGACGAACUACUGCNAGAAUUUUUUUUU
rnacentral:rRNA from 2 species